rnacentral:lncRNA from 1 species
CGAGGCGACUGAAGACGCUUCUCUUGUACCAUGUGUCCUUGCGCCGAGGCGACUGAAGACACUUCUCUGCUCGGACUCCGUUCUUUGGGGACGCCGGCAGAGAUCCGGUGAUGAAGAGCGGGCCGAACUCGUUGGCUGAAGCCGAUGGAGCACGAGCCGAGCUCGUCCGGUCAGAGAGGACCGCUAACUCAUAGCCGAUGGAGCACGAGCCGAGCUCG